GCUCUGCUGGCGGAAUGGCAUACGUGGCGGUCUUAAAAACCGGCAAAACCCCACAAACAUUUAAAAAGCGGGGGUGAUACGGGUUCGAAUCCCGUGCAGAGCA
rnacentral:tRNA from 1 species